rnacentral:rRNA from 1 species
AGCUCCGCUAGCGUAUAUUAUUAAUGUUGCAGUUGAAACGUUCGUAGUCUUCAGUGGUGUGUAAAGGAACGGCGACAGUUUUGUCAAACGCUUCUUCGCACAUUAUGCCGUCGCGAAGAAAUUCGCUACGGGUUUACCUUGAUUCACUCGGCGCGCUCGAAGCAGGACAUGGCCAUGAACGAUUAACCAUGGGAUAUUCAAACCAUAGUCGCGAUACCUCAGUGUAGGCGGUAUCCGGCAGACAUUUACGAGAACGAUUAAGGGCGUUCGGAUUGUGUAGUCAGAGGUGAAAUUCUAAAAUUUACACAGGCCGAUCUACGGCGAAGGCAUUCGUCCGAAAUGUUUCUG